CGCGUAGGCGGGAUAUUAAGUCUCUUGUCAAAGUGCGGGGCUCAACCCCGUGAUGCGGGAGAAACUAAUAUUCUUGAGUGCCGGAGAGGAAAGCGGAAUUCCCAGUGUAGCGGUGAAAUGCGUAGAUAUUGGGAGGAACACCAGUGGCGAAGGCGGCUUUCUGGACGGUGUCUGACGCUGAGGCGCGAAAGCCAGGGGAGCGAACGGGAUUAGAUACCCCCGGUAGUCCUGGCCGUAAACGAUGGGUACUAGGUGUAGGGGGUAUCGACCCCUCCUGUGCCGGAGUUAACGCAAUAAGUACCCCGCCUGGGGAGUACGGCCGCAAGGUUGAA
rnacentral:rRNA from 1 species